rnacentral:ncRNA from 1 species
AAAGCCAGUGGCGCGAAGCUACCAUGUGUUGGAUUAUGAAUGAACGCCUCUAAGUUAGAAUCCAGGCAAGAAGCGAUGCAUGCGCUCACCAUUGGCUUGCCGACCCGCAGUAGGGGCCAUUAGCCCCCAAGGGAUCGUUUUGUUGGCUAAGUCACCGCGAUGGAAUCGGCGCGGUGACUGCCUUGAAGUACAAUUUCAAUUGAGCGGUGGGUAGAAUCCUUUGUAGAAGACAUAAAUACGUGACGGGUUAUUGUAAGUGGAAGAGUGGCCUUGCUGCCACGAUCCACUGAGAUACAACCCUUUGUCACUCCGAUUCCA